CCGGCGAUGUCCGAAUGGGGAAACCCAGUGCAAUUCGUUGCACUAUCGUUAACUGAAUACAUAGGUUAACGAGGCGAACCGGGGGAACUGAAACAUCUAAGUACCCCGAGGAAAAGAAAUCAACCGAGAUUCCCCCAGUAGCGGCGAGCGAACGGGGAGCAGCCCAGAGUCUGAAUCAGCUUGUGUGUUAGUGGAACGGUCUGGAAAGUCCGACGGUACAGGGUGAUAGUCCCGUACACCAAAAUGCACAGGCUGUGAACUCGAAGAGUAGGGCGGGACACGUGGUAUCCUGUCUGAAUAUGGGGGGACCAUCCUCCAAGGCUAAAUACUCCUGACUGACCGAUAGUGAACCAGUACCGUGAGGGAAAGGCGAAAAGAACCCCGGCGAGGGGAGUGAAAAAGAACCUGAAACCGUGUACGUACAAGCAGUGGGAGCACCUUCGGGUGUGACUGCGUACCUUUUGUAUAAUGGGUCAGCGACUUAUAUUCUGUAGCAAGGUUAACCGUAUAGGGGAGCCGCAGGGAAACCGAGUCUUAACUGGGCGUUAAGUUGCAGGGUAUAGACCCGAAACCCGGUGAUCUAGCCAUGGGCAGGUUGAAGGUUGGGUAACACUAACUGGAGGACCGAACCGACUAAUGUUGAAAAAUUAGCGGAUGACUUGUGGCUGGGGGUGAAAGGCCAAUCAAACCGGGAGAUAGCUGGUUCUCCCCGAAAGCUAUUUAGGUAGCGCCUCGUGAAUUCAUCUUCGGGGGUAGAGCACUGUUUCGGCUAGGGGGUCAUCCCGACUUACCAACCCGAUGCAAACUACGAAUACCGAAGAAUGUUAUCACGGGAGACACACGGCGGGUGCUAACGUCCGUCGUGAAGAGGGAAACAACCCAGACCGCCAGCUAAGGUCCCAAAGUCAUGGUUAAGUGGGAAACGAUGUGGGAAGGCACAGACAGCCAGGAUGUUGGCUUAGAAGCAGCCAUCAUUUAAAGAAAGCGUAAUAGCUCACUGGUCGAGUCGGCCUGCGCGGAAGAUGUAACGGGGCUAAACCAUGCACCGAAGCUGCGGCAGCGACACUAUGUGUUGUUGGGUAGGGGAGCGUUCUGUAAGCCUGCGAAGGUGUGCUGUGAGGCAUGCUGGAGGUAUCAGAAGUGCGAAUGCUGACAUAAGUAACGAUAAAGCGGGUGAAAAGCCCGCUCGCCGGAAGACCAAGGGUUCCUGUCCAACGUUAAUCGGGGCAGGGUGAGUCGACCCCUAAGGCGAGGCCGAAAGGCGUAGUCGAUGGGAAACAGGUUAAUAUUCCUGUACUUGGUGUUACUGCGAAGGGGGGACGGAGAAGGCUAUGUUAGCCGGGCGACGGUUGUCCCGGUUUAAGCAUGUAGGCUGGUUGUCCAGGCAAAUCCGGAUAAUCAAGGCUGAGGUGUGAUGACGAGGCACUACGGUGCUGAAGUAACAAAUGCCCUGCUUCCAGGAAAAGCCUCUAAGCAUCAGGUAACAUUAAAUCGUACCCCAAACCGACACAGGUGGUCAGGUAGAGAAUACCAAGGCGCUUGAGAGAACUCGGGUGAAGGAACUAGGCAAAAUGGUGCCGUAACUUCGGGAGAAGGCACGCUGGUGUGUAGGUGAAGUCCCUGCGGAUGGAGCUGAGACCAGUCGAAGAUACCAGCUGGCUGCAACUGUUUAUUAAAAACACAGCACUGUGCAAACACGAAAGUGGACGUAUACGGUGUGACGCCUGCCCGGUGCCGGAAGGUUAAUUGAUGGGGUUAUCCGUAAGGAGAAGCUCUUGAUCGAAGCCCCGGUAAACGGCGGCCGUAACUAUAACGGUCCUAAGGUAGCGAAAUUCCUUGUCGGGUAAGUUCCGACCUGCACGAAUGGCGUAAUGAUGGCCAGGCUGUCUCCACCCGAGACUCAGUGAAAUUGAACUCGCUGUGAAGAUGCAGUGUACCCGCGGCAAGACGGAAAGACCCCGUGAACCUUUACUAUAGCUUGACACUGAACAUUGAGCCUUGAUGUGUAGGAUAGGUGGGAGGCUUUGAAGCGUGGACGCCAGUCUGCGUGGAGCCAACCUUGAAAUACCACCCUUUAAUGUUUGAUGUUCUAACGUUGGCCCCUGACCGGGGUUGCGGACAGUGUCUGGUGGGUAGUUUGACUGGGGCGGUCUCCUCCCAAAGCGUAACGGAGGAGCACGAAGGUUAGCUAAUCCUGGUCGGACAUCAGGAGGUUAGUGCAAUGGCAUAAGCUAGCUUGACUGCGAGCGUGACGGCGCGAGCAGGUGCGAAAGCAGGUCAUAGUGAUCCGGUGGUUCUGAAUGGAAGGGCCAUCGCUCAACGGAUAAAAGGUACUCCGGGGAUAACAGGCUGAUACCGCCCAAGAGUUCAUAUCGACGGCGGUGUUUGGCACCUCGAUGUCGGCUCAUCACAUCCUGGGGCUGAAGUAGGUCCCAAGGGUAUGGCUGUUCGCCAUUUAAAGUGGUACGCGAGCUGGGUUUAGAACGUCGUGAGACAGUUCGGUCCCUAUCUGCCGUGGGCGCUGGAGAAUUGAGGGGGGCUGCUCCUAGUACGAGAGGACCGGAGUGGACGCAUCACUGGUGUUCGGGUUGUCAUGCCAAUGGCACUGCCCGGUAGCUAAAUGCGGAAGAGAUAAGUGCUGAAAGCAUCUAAGCACGAAACUUGCCCCGAGAUGAGUUCUCCCUGAGACUUUAAGUCUCCUGAAGGAACGUU
rnacentral:rRNA from 1 species